rnacentral:rRNA from 1 species
UACGGGGGGGCAAGCGUUGUUCGGAAUUACUGGGCGUAAAGGGCGCGUAGGCGGCCUGCUAAGUCACACGUGAAAUCCCUCGGCUCAACCGGGGAACUGCGUGUGAUACUGGCGGGCUUGAAUUCGGGAGAGGGAUGUGGAAUUCCAGGUGUAGCGGUGAAAUGCGUAGAUAUCCGGAGGAACACCGGUGGCGAAGGCGGCUUCCUGGACCGACACUGACGCUG